UACGAAGGGGGCUAGCGUUGCUCGGAAUCACUGGGCGUAAAGCGCACGUAGGCGGCUUGUUAAGUCAGGGGUGAAAUCCUGGAGCUCAACUCCAGAACUGCCUUUGAUACUGGCGAGCUUGAGUUCGGGAGAGGUGAGUGGAACUGCGAGUGUAGAGGUGAAAUUCGUAGAUAUUCGCAAGAACACCAGUGGCGAAGGCGGCUCACUGGCCCGAUACUGACGCUGAGGAGCGAAAGCGUGGGGAGCAAACAGG
rnacentral:rRNA from 1 species